CUUGGCGACCAUAGCGUUGUGGACCCACCUGACUCCAUGCCGAACUCAGAAGUGAAACACAACAGCGCCGAUGGUAGUGUGGGGUCUCCCCAUGC
rnacentral:rRNA from 1 species